rnacentral:rRNA from 1 species
GACGAACGCUGGCGGCGUGCUUAACACAUGCAAGUCGAACGGAAAGGCCCUGCUUUUGUGGGGUGCUCGAGUGGCGAACGGGUGAGUAACACGUGAGUAACCUGCCCUUGACUUUGGGAUAACUUCAGGAAACUGGGGCUAAUACCGGAUAGGAGCUCCUGCUGCAUGGUGGGGGUUGGAAAGUUUCGGCGGUUGGGGAUGGACUUGCGGCUUGUCAGCUUGCUGGUGGGGUAGUGGAUUACCAAGGCUUUGACGGGUAGCCGGCCUGGGAGGGUGACCGGCCACAUUGGGACUGAGAUACGGCCCAGACUCCUACGGGAGGCAACAGUGGGGAAUAUUGCACAAUGGGCGGAAGCCUGAUGCAGCAACGCCGCGUGCGGGAUGACGGCCUUCGGGUUGUAAACCGCGUGCGCCUGUGACGAAGCGUGAGUGACGGUAAUGGGUAAAGAAGCACCGGCUAACUACGUG